AACGAACGCUGGCGGCAUGCCUAACACAUGCAAGUCGAACGAGACCUUCGGGUCUAGUGGCGCACGGGUGCGUAACGCGUGGGAAUCUGCCCUUUGCUUCGGAAUAACACAGAGAAAUUUGUGCUAAUACCGGAUAAUGUCGAAAGACCAAAGAUUUAUCGGCAAAGGAUGAGCCCGCGUAAGAUUAGGUAGUUGGUGGGGUAAUGGCCUACCAAGCCGACGAUCUUUAGCUGGUCUGAGAGGAUGAUCAGCCACACUGGGACUGAGACACGGCCCAGACUCCUACGGGAGGCAGCAGUGGGGAAUCUUAGACAAUGGGGGAAACCCUGAUCUAGCCAUGCCGCGUGAUCGAUGAAGGCCUUAGGGUUGUAAAGAUCUUUCAGUGGGGAAGAUAAUGACGGUACCCACAGAAGAAGCCCCGGCUAACUCCGUGCCAGCAGCCGCAGUAA
rnacentral:rRNA from 1 species